GCAGGGUGUGGUGGUGCACACCUGUAAUCCCAGCAGCUUGGUAGGCUGAGACAGGAGGAGAGCAAGUUCAAGGCAAGCCUCAGCAACUUAGUGAGGCUUUAAGCAACUUAGCAAGACCCUGUCAU
rnacentral:sRNA from 1 species